UGGAGAUAAGCAAUGAUGCACAUGAGACUGUGGAGUCACCACAGAUUAAUACCCAGGAUAAUGUGCAACAGGAGGACAAUAAUCCUCAGGUAAACAACAACGAUCAAAUAAUGAAUGAUGGGACGUUUAGAGGCUUUAUAGAAUUCAUGCAACAUCAGGCGAAGGCGCCUCCUGUCCAAAAUGCAGGUGGAAACACUGAC
rnacentral:lncRNA from 1 species